rnacentral:rRNA from 1 species
GACGAACGCUGGCGGCGUGCUUAACACAUGCAAGUCGAACGAUGAACUUGGAGCUUGCUCUGGGGGAUUAGUGGCGAACGGGUGAGUAACACGUGAGUAACCUGCCCUGGACUCUGGGAUAACUUCGAGAAAUCGGAGCUAAUACCGGAUAGGACCUUGCACCGCAUGGUGUGGGGUGGAAAGUUUUUCGGUUUGGGAUGGACUCGCGGCCUAUCAGCUUGUUGGUGAGGUAAUGGCUCACCAAGGCGUCGACGGGUAGCCGGCCUGAGAGGGUGACCGGCCACACUGGGACUGAGACACGGCCCAGACUCCUACGGGAGGCAGCAGUGGGGAAUGUUGCACAAUGGGCGCAAGCCUGAUGCAGCAACGCCGCGUGCGGGAUGACGGCCUUCGGGUUGUAAGCCGCUUUUAGUAGGGAAGAAGCCUUCGGGUGACGGUACCUGCAGAAAAAGGACCGGCUAACUACGUGCCAGCAGCCGCCGUAAGAC